UACGUAGGGUGCGAGCGUUUGUCCGGAAUUAUUGGGCGUAAAGAGCUCGUAGGCGGUGUGUCACGUCGGCCGUGAAAACCUGCAGCUUAACUGUGGGCGUGCGGUCGAUACGGGCAUCACUGGAGUUCGGCAGGGGAGACUGGAAUUCCUGGUGUAGCGGUGAAAUGCGCAGAUAUCAGGAGGAACACCGGUGGCGAAGGCGGGGUCUCUGGGACGGUACUGACGCUGGAGACGCGAAAGCGUGGGGAGCGAACAGG
rnacentral:rRNA from 1 species